rnacentral:rRNA from 1 species
UACGGCGGUGGCGAGCGUUGUCCGAAGUUACCGGGCGUAAAGCGUGCGUAGGCGGUUUCUUAAGUCUGCUGUGAAAGCCCUGGGCUCAACCUGGGAAUGGCGGUGGAUACUGAGAAGCUGGAGUACGGUAGAGGAAGGUGGAAUUCCCGGUGUAGCGGUGAAAUGCGUAGAGAUCGGGAGGAACAUCAGUGGCGAAGGCGGCCUUCUGGACCAGUACUGACGCUGAGGCACGAAAGCGUGGGGAGCAAACAGG